ACCGCAAGGCCUUGCGCUCUUUGAGCGGCCGAUGUCAGAUUAGCUAGUUGGUGAGGUAAAGGCUUACCAAGGCGACGAUCUGUAGCGGGUCUGAGAGGAUGAUCCGCCACACUGGAACUGAGACACGGUCCAGACUCCUACGGGAGGCAGCAGUGGGGAAUUUUGGACAAUGGGGGCAACCCUGAUCCAGCCAUGCCGCGUGAGUGAAGAAGGCCUUCGGGUUGUAAAGCUCCUUCGGCCGGGAAGAAAUCGCAUGGGUUAAUACCCUGUGCGGAUGACGGUACCGGCAUAAGAAGCACCGGCUAACUACGUG
rnacentral:rRNA from 1 species